rnacentral:rRNA from 1 species
GUGUGGAGAAGGGUUCCGUGAGAACAGCAAUUGGUCACGGGUGAUUCGAUCCUAAGACAGCGGGAAGUUCCAUUUAAAGAGUACUUUACUCGAUGUCGAAAGGGAAUGUGGUUAAGAUUCCACAAACUGGAUGUGGAUAAAAUGUGGUAACACAAGUGAACUCGGAGACACCAGUCCGAACCUCCGGAAGAGUUGUCUUUUCUUCUUAACGAACCAUCGCCUUGGAAUUGGAUUAUCCAGAGAUGAGGCUUUAUGUUCGGCAGAGCAACACAUUAACAGUGUUGUCGGAAGCGUUCGGGAUGGUCCUUGAAAAUCCGAGGGAGAGAUUUAUUGCACACCAGGUCGUACCAACAACCGCAUCAGGUCUCCAAGGUUAGCAGCCUCUGGUCAAUAGAAUAAUGUAGAUAAGGGAAUUCGGCAAAAUGGAUCCGUAACUUCGGGAAAAGGAUUGGCUCUGAGGACUGGGUUUAGGAACUCAAUUACAAAAACCAAGUUAAUUUAGGACUGCAAGGCAACGAGUGGAUCUAGAUAUGCGAAGUUGGAGUCUUUGAGAAAUCCUAAGCGAGGAACAGUCGACUCAGAACUGAAGCGGACAAGGGGAAUCCGACUGUUUACUUAAAACAUAGCAAUGUGAGGGCCUGAAAAGGUGUUGACACAUUGUGAUUUCUGCCCAGUGCUUUGAAUGUCAACGUGAAGAAAUUCAAUCAAGCGCAGGUAAACGGCGGGAGUAACUAUGACUCUCUUAAGGUAGCCAAAUGCCUCGUCAUCUAAUUAGUGACGCGCAUGAAUGGAUCAAUGAGAUUCCCACUGUCCCUAUCUACUAUCUAGCGAACCCACAGCCAAGGGAACGGGCUUGGAAAAAUCAGCGGGGAAAGAAGACCCUGUUGAGCUUGACUCUAGUCCGACUUUGUGAAAUGACUUACGAGGUAUAGCCUAAGUGGGAGAGUAAUCGCGCCUGUAAAACCACUACUCGUUUUGCCAUUUUACUUAUUCCGUCAGACAGAAGCCUCUUGAGGUUCUAGUGCAAGAUUCUAUUUAUUUAGAGUCGAUCUGGGCGGAAGACAGGGUCAGAUGGGGAGUUUGGCUGGGGCGGCACAUCUGUUAAACAGUAACGCAGGUGUCCUACGGCAAGCUCAGAGAGAACAGAAAUCUCUCGUAGACCAAAAGGGGAAAAGCUUGCUUGAUUCCGGUUUUCAGUACGAACACGAACUGUGAAAGCAUGGCCUAUCGAUCCUUUAUCUUUAGAAGUUUUAAGCUAGAGGUGUCAGAAAAGUUACCACAGGGAUAACUGGCUUGUGGCAGCCAAGC